ACAGGUGACUUCAUAACGAAUCGUACCUUCUACUCCAAAUUAAAGCUGGAAUGUGCUCAGCUGAUUGCUGAUAACAGAUGAUCCUACCGACAGGCCAGUGAGGUGAUGGAUGUUGGCUCUUC
rnacentral:sRNA from 1 species